AGGAGGUGUGGAGCAUAGCUAGCUGGCCGUGGGGUCUGCUGGACUCCGAGAUGACUGAGUGUGGGGGUGACUACCCCUUUGUAGCCAGAUGCUGUUUCUUCUGAGGGGAGGAAUAGGCUGCCUCAGGUCUCAGAUACCCAGGCAUAUAGGUAACAGAGAAACAGGACACCCUAUGGAGAGGUCCCUAAGGAAGAACACUUCCAGGAACAGAGCACACUGGGGCUGAGGCAACCCCUAUGAAAGGUUCAUUCAACAUCCUCCCUACCAAGGGUCUGAGACCCACACGUUGAGAACCCCUGCUUUAAGGCGCCUUGUGAAGAAGGGAGAGAAGAGCCAUUGAUUAGAGUGUUUGCAAAUCCUGCAUCUGACUAGGGACUUGCAUUUUGAACAUGUAAAAGCCAGUUAUCCAAAGACAGGUAAUUUAAACCUAGGAAGGGACUUGACAGAUGAUUUUCCAAAGAGAUGCACACAUGUAAGAAGCCAGCAGGUACAAGCAAUUGUACACACAGCCAUGAGGGGCUACUGUGAGACAGCUGUGUCAAAGUCCAUUCCACAAACACGUGGAAGGCUUCAGCCACAAGCCUCACAUGCUGCUUGUGGGAGCACAAUAUAGAGACAUUUUGCACAGAGUCUGACAGUUCCUCCAAAGGCCAAGCACAAGAGUCACCGACCCAAAGACACUCUUGAGAGAAAUGAGCA
ensembl:processed_transcript Gm13562 predicted gene 13562